rnacentral:rRNA from 1 species
AACGAACGCUGGCGGCAUGCCUAACACAUGCAAGUCGAACGAGACCUUCGGGUCUAGUGGCGCACGGGUGCGUAACGCGUGGGAACCUGCCCUUAGGUUCGGAAUAACUCCCCGAAAGGGGUGCUAAUACCGGGUAAUGUCUUCGGACCAAUGAUUUAUCGCCUUUGGAUGGGCCCGCGUUGGAUUAGCUAGUUGGUAGGGUAAAAGCCUACCAAGGCGACGAUCCAUAGCUGGUCUGAGAGGAUGAUCAGCCACACUGGGACUGAGACACGGCCCAGACUCCUACGGGAGGCAGCAGUGGGGAAUAUUGGACAAUGGGCGAAAGCCUGAUCCAGCAAUGCCGCGUGAGUGAUGAAGGCCUUAGGGUUGUAAAGCUCUUUUACCCGGGAUGAUAAUGACAGUACCGGGAGAAUAAGCUCCGGCUAACUCCGUG